rnacentral:rRNA from 1 species
UAAUGUAUGGGGAUCUGCCCGAUAGAGGGGAUAACUACUGGAAACGGUGGCUAAUACCGCAUAAUGUCUACGGACCAAAGCAGGGGGCUCUUCGGACCUUGCACUAUCGGAUGAACCCAUAUGGGAUUAGCUAGUAGGUGGGGUAAAGGCUCACCUAGGCGACGAUCUCUAGCUGGUCUGAGAGGAUGAUCAGCCACACUGGGACUGAGACACGGCCCAG